AAUGAAGAGAUACAUACUAUUUAUCCUAGCUCAUCAUAUGCAUACACGUCAUUCCAGCUGAGAUUAUCUGAUAUUGUGAAACUUGCAACUGUAUUGAACUUAACUGUACAACGUGUGUGGUAGUGAAGACUCUAUAAAAUUCAAAUUGAAUUAAAGUCUUAUACUUGACAUUUGUAUAACUCGUAAUUUUGGCAAUAAACUUACCUUUAUCACAUUCAACGGGGCUAGGAAAUCAGUCUAAAGGCUACACCCUGUAUCCUAUUGGCAUUUUCAACAUCUAAAGUGACAGAAAAAAUCACAAGAAAAUGAAGAAAACUGAACAGAAUACUACGAGUUUGAUUUCAGAGAUUCAUUAAUUUGACAACAUAAUGUAAUGAUUAUUGCAUUUAAUAAAUUAAUUCUUAGUUGUACUUCCA
rnacentral:lncRNA from 1 species